rnacentral:rRNA from 1 species
UUUGAUCCYGSCUYAGGAUGAACGCUAGCGGCAGGCUUAACACAUGCAAGUCGAGGGGUAUAGUUCUUCGGAAUUAGAGACCGGCGCACGGGUGCGUAACGCGUAUGCAAUCUACCUUUUACAGAGGGAUAGCCCAGAGAAAUUUGGAUUAAUACCUCAUAGCAUUGCAGAAUGGCAUCAUUCAGCAAUUAAAGUCACAACGGUAAAAGAUGAGCAUGCGUCCCAUUAGCUAGUUGGUAAGGUAACGGCUUACCAAGGCUACGAUGGGUAGGGGUCCUGAGAGGGAGAUCCCCCACACUGGUACUGAGACACGGACCAGACUCCUACGGGAGGCAGCAGUGAGGAAUAUUGGACAAUGGGCGCAAGCCUGAUCCAGCCAUGCCGCGUGCAGGAUGACGGUCCUAUGGAUUGUAAACUGCUUUUGCACAGGAAGAAACAACGCUACGUGUAGCGUCUUGACGGUACUGUGAGAAUAAGGAUCGGCUAACUCCGUGCCAGCAGCCGCGGUAAUACGGAGGAUCCAAGCGUUAUCCGGAAUCAUUGGGUUUAAAGGGUCCGUAGGCGGUUUGGUAAGUCAGUGGUGAAAGCCCAUCGCUCAACGGUGGAACGGCCAUUGAUACUGCCAGACUUGAAUUAUUGGGAAGUAACUAGAAUAUGUAGUGUAGCGGUGAAAUGCUUAGAGAUUACAUGGAAUACCAAUUGCGAAGGCAGGUUACUACUAAUGGAUUGACGCUGAUGGACGAAAGCGUGGGUAGCGAACAGGAUUAGAUACCCUGGUAGUCCACGCCGUAAACGAUGGAUACUAGCUGUUGGGAGCGAUCUCAGUGGCUAAGCGAAGUGAUAA